GGCGCUAUAGCCAAGUGGUUAAGGCGAUUGAUUAGAAUCAUUUGAUUACGAUCAAUUCCACUUUGUGGGCGCAGGUUCAAAUCCUGCUGGCGUCG